GUAGGGUGGCAAGCGUUGUCCGGAAUUAUUGGGCGUUAAAGCGCGCGCAGGCGGUCCUUUAAGUCUGAUGUGAAAGCCCACGGCUCAACCGUGGAGGGUCAUUGGAAACUGGGGGACUUGAGUACAGAAGAGGAAAGCGGAAUUCCAAGUGUAGCGGUGAAAUGCGUAGAGAUUUGGAGGAACACCAGUGGCGAAGGCGGCUUUCUGGUCUGUAACCGACGCUGAGGCGCGAAAGCGUGGGGAGCAAACAGGAUUAGAUACCCUGGUAGUCCACGCCGUAAACGAUGAGUGCUAAGUGUUAGGGGGUUUCCGCCCCUUAGUGCUGCAGCUAACGCAUUAAGCACUCCGCCUGGGGAGUACGGCCGCAAGGCUG
rnacentral:rRNA from 1 species